AAUCCAUGAUGAGGACACCUUUUCAACAAAUCAUUAAAUCUCUUCCAUGUAUCGUAAAGUGUCUCAAUGUCAAAUUGAUCAAAAGAGGAGAUGUCUUUCCUCAACUU
rfam:Gossypium hirsutum cultivar TM-1 chromosome 24, whole genome shotgun sequence